UACGUAGGGUGCGAGCGUUGUCCGGAUUUAUUGGGCGUAAAGGGCUCGUAGGCGGCGUGUCGCGUCGGGAGUGAAAGCCCGUUGCUUAACGGCGGGUUGGCUUUCGGUACGGGCGUGCUGGAGUGCGGCAGGGGGAGACUGGAAUUCCUGGUGUAGCGGUGGAAUGCGCAGAUAUCAGGAGGAACACCGAUGGCGAAGGCAGGUCUCUGGGCAUUAACUGACGCUGAGGAGCGAAAGCAUGGGGAGCGAACAGG
rnacentral:rRNA from 1 species